UAGCUAGUUGGUGAGGUAAAGGCUUACCAAGGCGACGAUCUGUAGCGGGUCUGAGAGGAUGAUCCGCCACACUGGAACUGAGACACGGUCCAGACUCCUACGGGAGGCAGCAGUGGGGAAUUUUGGACAAUGGGGGCAACCCUGAUCCAGCCAUGCCGCGUGAGUGAAGAAGGCCUUCGGGUUGUAAAGCUCUUUCGGCCGGGAAGAAAUCGCAUGGGCCAAUACCCUGUGUGGAUGACGGUACCGGAAUAAGAAGCACCGGCUAACUACGUGCCAGCAGCCGCGGUAAUACGUAGGGUGCGAGCGUUAAUCGGAAUUACUGGGCGUAAAGCGUGCGCAGGCGGUUUUGUAAGACAGGCGUGAAAUCCCCGGGCUUAACCUGGGAACUGCGUUUGUGACUGCAAGGCUAGAGUACGGCAGAGGGGGGUGGAAUUCCACGUGUAGCAGUGAAAUGCGUAGAGAUGUGGAGGAACACCAAUGGCGAAGGCAGCCCCCUGGGUCGAUACUGACGCUCAUGCACGAAAGCGUGGGUAGCAAACAGGAUGAUACCCUGGUAGUCCACGCCCUAAACUAUGUCAACUAGGUGUUGGGUGGGUAAAACCAUUUAGUACCGUAGCUAACGCGUGAAGUUGACCGCCUGGGGAGUACGGCCGCAAGGUUAAAACUCAAAGGAAUUGACGGGGACCCGCACAAGCGGUGGAUGAUGUGGAUUAAUUCGAUGCAACGCGAAAAACCUUACCUACCCUCGACAUGCCAGGAACUUGCCAGAGAUGGCUUGGUGCCCGAAAGGGAGCCUGGACACAGGUGCUGCAUGGCUGUCGUCAGCUCGUGUCGUGAGAUGUUGGGUUAAGUCCCGCAACGAGCGCAACCCUUGUCGUUAAUUGCCAUCAUUUGGUUGGGCACUUUAACGAGACUGCCGGUGACAAACCGGAGGAAGGUGGGGAUGACGUCAAGUCCUCAUGGCCCUUAUGGGUAGGGCUUCACACGUCAUACAAUGGUCGGUACAAAGGGUUGCCAAGCCGCGAGGCGGAGCCAAUCCCAGAAAGCCGAUCGUAGUCCGGAUUGCAGGCUGCAACUCGCCUGCAUGAAGUCGGAAUCGCUAGUAAUCGUGGAUCAGCAUGUCACGGUGAAUACGUUCCCGGGUCUUGUACACACCGCCCGUCACACCAUGGGAGCGGGUUCCGCCAGAAGUAGGUAGCCUAACCGCAAGGGGGGCGCUUACCACGGCGGGGUUCGUGACUGGGGUGAAGUCGUAACAAGGUAGCCGUAGGGGAACCUGCGGCUG
rnacentral:rRNA from 1 species